UUCUAGGGACGAAUUUAAGACAGCGUCGACUCAAGAGUGGAGAAUUCGUUACAGAAAUCGACAGGAACGUGGAAUAGAAUCCCAGAAAACUUCUCAACCGCUUGGCAAUAAAUAUGAAGCGCACUGUUCUAUCCGUUCUCUUGUUGGUUUUCCUUUUCUCCACAACUUUCCUGCACAGUGCAGAGGGUAAUUAUCUGAGGUUUGGCCGAACGCUGAGCAAAAGAAAACUUAGAACUCGAAACAGGUUCCAGGUUGAAACAGAUGAUGCGCUUGCUUCCAACAAACGGCGGGGAACUGGUAAUGGACUGCGGGACGACGCUUACUUACCAACAUAUAACUGAUGACUGCUCAAGUAAAGUUUCUUGCAAAUGAAGUGGAUACCACGCAAUGUUUUAGCUUAACUUGUAAAGAGCGAAGAGCAUCAAUAAAUUGUCACAGAGUCCUUAGCUUCUAAAUAGCAUGAAAAGAAAUAAAUGCUUUUUUUGAUGGUAAAACUUGCUACAGUUUGAAUUUUCUUACCGGGUGUAACAAGGGAUUUAU